CAGUCGAACGGACUCAUAUUGAAACCUAGUGAUUUAUGAGUUAGUGGCGGACGGGUGAGUAACGCGUGGAUAACCUACCGUAUACCGGGGGAUAACACUUAGAAAUAGGUGCUAAUACCGCAUAAGCGCACGGCUCCGCAUGGGGCAGUGUGAAAAACUCCGGUGGUAUACGAUGGAUCCGCGUCUGAUUAGCUAGUUGGCGGGGUAACGGCCCACCAAGGCAGCGAUCAGUAGCCGGCCUGAGAGGGUGGACGGCCACAUUGGGACUGAGACACGGCCCAAACUCCUACGGGAGGCAGCAGUGGGGAAUAUUGCACAAUGGGGGAAACCCUGAUGCAGCGACGCCGCGUGAGUGAAGAAGUAUCUCGGUACGUAAAGCUCUAUCAGCAGGGAAGAAAAUGACGGUACCUGACUAAGAAGCCCCGGCUAACUACGUGCCAGCAGCCGCGGUAAUACGUAGGGGGCAAGCGUUAUCCGGAUUUACUGGGUGUAAAGGGAGCGUAGACGGCAGCACAAGUCUGGAGUGAAAUCCCGGGGCUUAACCCCGGAACUGCUUUGGAAACUGUGCGGCUGGAGUGCAGGAGGGGUAAGCGGAAUUCCUAGUGUAGCGGUGAAAUGCGUAGAUAUUAGGAGGAACACCGGUGGCGAAGGCGGCUUACUGGACUGUAACUGACGUUGAGGCUCGAAAGCGUGGGGAGCAAACAGGAUUAGAUACCCUGGUAGUCCACGCCGUAAACGAUGAUUACUAGGUGUCGGGGGAUCAAGGUCCUCCGGUGCCGGCGCAAACGCAUUAAGUAAUCCACCUGGGGAGUACGUUCGCAAGAAUGA
rnacentral:rRNA from 1 species